CCUACGGGAGGCAGCAGUGGGGAAUCUUGCGCAAUGGGCGAAAGCCUGACGCAGCAACGCCGCGUGCGGGAAGAAGGCUUUCGGGCUGUAAACCGCUUUCAGCAGGAACGAAAAUGACGGUACCUGCAGAAGAAGGAGCGGCCAACUAUGUGCCAGCAGCCGCGGUGAUACAUAGGCUUCAAGCGUUGUCCGGAUUUAUUGGGCGUAAAGAGUUCGUAGGCGGUCGAGUAAGUCGGGUGUGAAAAUUCUGGGCUCAACCCAGAGACGCCACCCGGAUACUGCUUAACUUGAGUUCGAUAGGGGAGUGGGGAAUUCCUAGUGUAGCGGUGAAAUGCGCAGAUAUUAGGAGGAACACCGGUGGCGAAGGCGCCACUCUGGAUCGAUACUGACGCUGAGGAACGAAAGCAUGGGUAGCAAACAGGAUUAGAUACCCUGGUAGUCCAUGCCGUAAACGGUGGGCACUAGGUGUGGGAUUCUAUUAACGAAUUCCGCGCCGUCGCUAACGCAUUAAGUGCCCCGCCUGGGGAGUACGGUCGCAAGCUAAAACCUUAAAGGAAUUGACGGCNGAGAGUGCGAGACGACACGAGGAGAG
rnacentral:rRNA from 1 species